UACAGAGGGGGCAAGCGUUAUUCGGAAUUAUUGGGCGUAAAGGGCGCGUAGGCGUCCUGGCAAGUGGAAGGUGAAAUCCCUCGGCUUAACCGAGGAACUGCCCUCCAAACUGCUUGGCUUGAGACCGGGAGAGGUGAGUGGAAUUCCCAGAGUAGCGGUGAAAUGCGUAGAUAUUGGGAGGAACACCAGUGGCGAAGGCGGCUCACUGGACCGGUACUGACGCUGAGGCGCGAAAGCGUGGGGAGCAAACGGG
rnacentral:rRNA from 1 species